GAAACUGUCUGUAUCCAUUACCUCGGAGCUAGUCAAACUUCCAUUACUAUUCCCCAAAGGCAGAGGGGAAAUCCAUCUACCCAAUUAUUCCUGAAGGCUUUUCCUAUUUUCUCCCAUGAUUUCUUAUCUAUCUUGGCACAGCUCUGCGACAGUGUGUCCUCCAUCUAUUUCCUCCAUGUCUGAGCCUCAUAUUUGGGCACCAUCUGAGUAGAUCCGUCCCACAGUUCCACUCGGGUCUGUGGGCCUCGUCAGACCAGAGGUCAGACAGGACCUGCAAAAUGAAACAGGAUGCAGUAACUCCUACUGGGUACAUUCACUAUGUUUCAAGGUUGACACUAAGUCUCCAUUAGAAACAGUAAUGUUAAAGCCCACCUUGCAAUUUAUGUGACAAUGAUGGCUUCUUGACCGGAGCAUCUGCCUUUCAAGUGCUUCACCGCGUGCCCUAACGCUGUGUGAAACAGUGAUAAAUUCCAUCUGAAAUACAAGGGACAAUGGGACUAACUCUUUGAGGUCUGUUCUUUCAACACAAUGGAAGACGCCUUGAUUUGUAUCUGCAGAGAAUGUUCCUUUCAUCUCCAUUUCCCUUCUGAUGACCACCCACAUUACCAUCAGAUGACAGCGAAUAAAGGGUUCAUCACUAAUCCUAAAUAUCAUCAUUAGACUGACCGGCAAGCUAGCUCACAGGAUUGCCCGCAUCUAAUCUCCAGUGCUGGCUUCUCAGCACAUACAGCCAUACCCAGCUUCUACGAUGAGUGCCGGGAAUUCAAACUUAGGUCGUAGUGCUUGGGUAACAGGUACUCUCAGCUACUGAGCCUUCACCCGGAGUCCUAUAACUACCAGAUCAAUGGUACUUUACACUUGAUAGUUCACCCAUCUCUACUUAACCAGUUUGCUCUGCAGGAUACCCACCUCCACCACAGCUAUUCUGUUCUCAUGAGAUUGAUCUCUUGCCUUUAAAAAUAAUUUUGAUUUUAAAAUUUAAAUACAAUUAUAUCAUUUUCUCUCUCUUUCCCCGCACAUCCUUCUUAUUUACCCUACCUUAUUGUUCUCUCUCAAAUUUAUGGCAUCUGUUUCUUCAAUUAUUUUAGAUAUGCAUAGAUAUUACUAAAUAAAUAAAGAUCCCCUUAUUG